AACCUACUCCCUCCGUUCAGAAUUACUUGUAGAAAUGAAUGUAUCUAGACGUAUUUUAGUUCUAAAUACAUCUAUUUUCGAGACAAGUAAUUCCGAACGGAGGGAGUACCAA
rfam:Triticum aestivum genome assembly, contig: Triticum_aestivum_CS42_TGACv1_scaffold_220974_3B